UAUAGAGAUCGAAAUCUAUGGCAUGGAGGAUACCAGAGGAAGAUGCCAUAGGCACAUGAAAAAAAACAAAAAUAAAAAACAAGAUGAUGGCAAAGCAGAUGACUCACAAGAUGAAGAGGACUCACAGCCUGGAGUGCCACCUAUAAUGCACCAGCUCAAUCGGAGGCAUACCAUUCCCUGCACCAGGCUUAUGCCACCAAUGCCUCCAGGACCAAUGAUGGGGCCAAUGGGACCUAUGGUCCUAUUGGACCCAUGGGCCUAUGGGACCAAUGGGUCCCAUGGGGCCACCAUGGGGAGCAAUGGGACCAAGGUGAGUAUUCUCCUGGCUUCUGAUUCCUUCAGUUGCACGUCAAAACCUGACGAUUUUGAGGAUUAGCUCUAAAUAGGUACAGGCACACAAAAUUGCAUUUUUUGUUGGUUUUUUUUUUUUUUUUUUUUUUUUUUUUGAAAUGGAUAAUUUUUCAUGUUUAUGUUCAAUUAUAGGAACAUAGAAGGGGAAAAACUAAUCUCUGUCUCAAUAUUUGAGAUACUGCUGUUUAAAGCUUGUGAUUUGCAUCACAACUAACUAUUUUAGACGUAUUGAACAAUUUUUAAAUACAGCAGCUUGGAACAUAGGAAGUCCUCAAGUACUUUAUAUAAGAAAUUACCAAGACUGAUUUUCUACUUGGGUGAAUCAAAAAUUAAUCUGCAAUAGGACAUAUCUGGAAAAAAAAAUUGAGGAAAAUGCAAUUUUUCUAUUCGUCAUUUUGUAAUCAUCAUAUUUUGAUUAUUCUGUUUCAAGGACUAUGAUACUAAAUGCACCAAAAACAUUUACUUCUAAGUAACCAUUAUAAAAAAAACUUGUAAGCUAUGCAUCUUGAAAUAGUACAAAAUCAUUAAUCUUUCAGGCAGAUAUAUGGAUAUAAGUGUAACAAACUUUAAACAGCUGUAAUUUCUAAUCUACAAGACAUAAUUGUUUCAAGUUUUUUACUUUGAUUUUUAAGGAAAAAAAUCACGUCUUUUAAUCUGUAUUAAAACUGUCAAUUUUCCAUAAACUACAUCUUUCGGGUACAAGUUCAAGUUAUUUUGCAUCAAGAUUUAUUACUCUUGGAACUUGAAUUUUAUUAGAAAACAGGCAUUUCCACAAAUCUUUACAGAUUUAACUAUGUGUAUAUACGUUGACUUAAAAAAGCGAUUAUUAUGUGAUGGCCUGCUUUCCACCAGUGGAAAGGCGUGUGUGCCAGUCCCUACUUCAAAAUUAGUAAAAUGUGCUUUUGUGCAAAGCUAAUAAUUAUAAAUUAUAUUGCAAUAAUCAGAAUUAAUUCCUUGAUAUACCUAGAAGGAAAUCUAACUUUGCAGGAUGCCUCCUAUUCCGCCACAACCUAUUAUGCCUCCAAACAUGGCACCAAACAUGAUGGGCACAGCAGGGCCUUCAAAGCCUCUUUUCCCUGCAGCUGUACAGGCAGGACCGGUGGUCUCUAGCACGGCUUCAUCAACCAUAGGACCAGUGAAGCCAACCUUUCCAGCAGCAGCAGCUGUGUCAUCCUCAGCCACCAUCACAGGGGCACCCACAAUUAAAAAACCGGAGUCUGCUUCAGGUUUGACCUCUAAACUCAUUCAUCCUGACGAGGAUAUCUCUUUGGUAAGUAAUCAUGGCCAAGUCUUCAUGUUGUUUAGCUCCGUUCACUUUCAAAUAAGGUUGGUUGACAAUUUCAACUCUUCCUAUUGUCUUUUAAAGAUGUAGAUUUCGUAAUUGCUUUUCAGCCUGAAAUGAUGCGUCAUUGAGAUCUUUGAGGGUGAUGCAAUAAAUAUUACCUUAUUUUUAAUUGGGUAAAGAAAACUUUUUUAAGUGGAAAUUGUACUGUUUUAGGGUAUGCUUCAGAAGAGGGUGGACAUAUUUUUGUAACCUUGAAAUGAUUUGUUUGAUGGGAGCAGCUAGCUCAGUGCCAGUAGCUAACUUUACAUUUGCAGGAAGAAAAGCGUGCUGCCAUGCCCAAGUAUCAUGCUAAACUGGCUAAUCUAAACUCUGUUAAUCCGCCCAACAUCCCACGUAUGACUCGUCCAAUGGGUCAGGGGCCUUUGAUGGGUGGGAUGCCACCUCGAAUGGGCAUGCGGCCAGCUGGACCACCUGGGCCAUUCAACAUGCCAUUCCGUCCAGGCAUGCAGGGUCCUCCAAUGCAUGGGAGCCCUUUUUGACUGGAGGAGCAUGUUAGUCCAAGAUUAUUAACCCCCAUCUGAUGACAUUGGGUGGUUGGGAUGUUAUUAAGAUUGUAAGAGACUGAGUACCAAGCUGAUAGAUUAUUUUGUGAGCUUUAACAAAAAUAAGAACAUAUAAAAGCAUUUAUGUACGCGUUGGAUGUGCUCAUUGGGUGAAUUUUUAGUUACACGGUCAUCUUUUUCAGUCUCAGGUGCUUUAAAUGAUGACAUUUCGUUUGGUGGACAUUUGUUACUUUUUUUUCAUCACUGGAGAUCUGUCAGUAACAGGACUUUUUUCUUUGUUUUUCCCUCUUCAAGCAAAUAUUGGCGCAGACUGCUUUGAAACCUGAGUCUCUGACAAAGGUACGGUGCGCUGUGUGUUAGCUGAAUGCAUGAUUGAAAGACUGUGUUACUCCGUGUUGGAUAACUAUUGGCGAGCAAGUGACUGAGCAAAGAGCUGUACAAAGUGUGAGUGGCUGCAGAAAGAGGUGGAUCUGUGUAAAGAUUGAUUAUUAUAAGUGCAUCACAGCAGAUUCACUUGCUGUUGGGUCAUCACGGCCCCCAACUGAGGUUGGCGAUGCCCAGAGAUGUUUUUGUUUUUAAUGGCAAAGUUAUAUGUUGUAGUUCAUCCUUAAAGUGCAUCACAGCAAGGUCUUGCUGUUGGGUCUUAUAUCCCCAACUGGUUUUGGCGAUGCACCUGCUUUAGCCUAACAUUGCAGUUGGUUCCUACUGUCUGGUCUGCAAACUCCAAGAAAAGGAAAGCACAUCACAGCAGGCAAACCUGCUGUUGGGUCAUAAGAUCCCCAACACUGUUGGCGAUGUGUUUUCCAAGUCUUUAAUAGAAUGUGUGCAUGUUAGGCUCUGUGAGUUGGAAUGGCCUUUUUAGUUAGUUUGCAUAAGUAAAUGUGUUUCUUCUAAAAUCUCAUUAGCUAGGUUCAUUGGUUGCUGUUUAUGUUUUUACUUUGGGAUGGGAAAAAUGGAUUUUCUUUCAAUAUCCAGGUUAAAAGUAUGAUUGCAAAAUUUUUUUAGUAAAUUGUUAAUCUACAAAACUUCCAACUACCAGAGGAGAGAAAUUGAAGAUUAUUAAGAUAUGCAGUAGCCAUCAUCAAGGCAAGUUUUUUUGUUUUGCUCGGAUCAGACUUUUCUAGCAUCUCAUAUUGCAAGUAUGCAUGACUAGGUACUUUUUUUGCUUUAGAGGAUAAUUGUUGGCACAAAGACUAUUGACCCUAGCCUCCAUGAAAAAGGCAAGUUGGUCACAACAAGCAGUCUUGUUGUUGGGCUCUUGGCCCCCAACAGAAGUUGGCGACACUUUUGACUCCUUGUUUGCACAUAGCUUCACAUGCAGGAUUGCUUUCAAUUUGACAUUUUUGCUCAGUGCAUGCUGUGUAACAUCUUUUUCCCAGGCACAUCGGUCAAGUUUGCUUCUUUGUUUUGCCCAUGUCUGUAUGCUUCCUUAAUAUGUGGAGUUUAGCAUGGCCAUUCUCAAGGGCCAUAUCUGUUGCAGAGAGAGCUUGCUGCUUGGAAAAUUGAGCGGUGAGUGCCUCUUUGUGGUACUCCUGUUGAAUGUCCCUCUCUGGUCUCCUCUUUCUCUCAUUUCUGUAGUUAUGUUUACAGCCAUUUUUGUGUGCUUAUAUGUAUACAAUGUCAUUCAAGUAUAUCUUCUCAGGAUGAAAUAUGUAGUGUUCUACUGCAGUAACAGUUCCUUUUGACCUGGUAAGUCAUUCCAAUCCAAGCAAAAAAAGCAUAAAAGUAAGGUGGUGAAUGUUCUUGUAGCACUGGUUUCAGAAUUCUUGAAGGUGUGUGUAUGUGUGGGUCUGGUAACAGUCGCUGGGUGUGCUGUACCAGAAUUUUAAUAGUCGAUCUUUGAACACCUGCAUUUUUAUGUACGUCCUAUGCGUGAAUAUGAGAAAGGGAAAUCACAGCUUCAUUUAUUGCAGAACUAAGAGUGCUGUACAUUUAAAUAACUGUUCCUAGGUCAGUGGUGCCAUGUACUUCAGAAUGUAGUUUUCAGGAGGUGAAUAGCUAUUUGACUGGUUCUCUAUGGCAGCAGUGUCUUCACUUUCAUGUCAUCAGUAUAGCAAGCUGAAGAGUUCCCUAUGCAGGAAAGUUCCUGUUGGUCUAAAGAUGUGCAGAAUAAAUUUAAAAGAUUA